GUGCUUGCUUUGACAACACAUAUACUAAAAUUGGAACAAUACAGAGAGGAUUAGCAUGAACCAUCCACUAGGACAACAUGCAAAUUCUUUAAGUGGUGCAUAUUUUU
ensembl:snRNA U6 U6 spliceosomal RNA